CCACCGUGCUGUAGACACUCACUGUUGUACCUCUCUCCUGACUUUUAAUGAAUGUAGAUUGGGGGUGGGGGGGUAACUGAGCAACUCUACCUCUGUUUAUAUGAUGAACAGAAAUAUUAAUACUUCCAUCAAGUGAGAAAACAACAAAGUUUGGUAAAACCAUAAUUAAAUUUUUGUCCUUUCGAUGGGCAAAGGCUCUUAGGUUUUUGGAUAAAGUAUGCUUUAUCGUCACUGCAGUAUUAGAAAGCGAAAUGUAUAUUCUUUGUAGUUUCAUUUGCUAUUCUAUAGCCCAGUUUUCAUCACGGAGCACUUGUGGUCGAUUGACUGAAGAAGCUGUCCAUGUUAAAAACAAUAAAUAAUGUGUUAAUGAAUACAGUUUGUCUUUAUUUGAAAAAUUAAAAAUAUUUUAACAGACCGUUUUUUAGGUGAUGUGCCACUUGUACAGGUUUCUAAGGGAAUACUCUUUGAUCCUCCAAGCAUUAAAGUCUGAACCAUGAAUUAAUUGUCAGAAAAUUCUAAGUUUUUGAAAAUGGAGUAUUUAUUGAAGCAUUUGACAAUUAAAAAACCCCCCGAAAUAAUGAUAAUUACAUUUCCAUAUAUGUAUAAUUUGUAUAAUAUUUUUUCCAGACAUUUUUUUGUUCCUUAAAAAUGUAUUGUGCAAUCUUAUGUAGGUUUUUUAGGGGGAUUUAGGGGGUCGCAUUUAUGAUGUACAGCUCUUAAAAGAACAUGUAUCAAAUAUGGCACACUAAGCCUUAAGGGGUUAAGUAUAAAGCAAGUGUAUCACUUGAUGCUUUAAUAUGUGAUUGCUUACAUGUGAACCCUGCGUGUUUAAUUAUUAAUGUGCAGGAGGCACGGGGAUGUGCAGUGUGCAGGAAUCCUUUUGUUGAUGCGUCUCUAAGGUGACUGACUGCACAGAACAGCACAAGGGGCGGCCUGGCAAGUGGACACUUGGCUUAAAGACAUCAAUCUGGAAAUAAAUCGAUCGGACUUUAAGUGAAGCAGAACUCGAGGCGCUUCCUCAAAGGUCUUUAAACUGUCUGUGCACAUGGAGGCGAGCCUGACAUCAGCCCCUCACUCGGUGAAGCGGUGGCAGCUGAGCGGGACGGACUAUGAGCCGCAGCAGGCCGGCACCCUGCUGUCCGACACCCGCUUCAGCAGCUGGACUCCCCUGAACAACAAGCGGAUCAACCUGCAGUUAUUUGAGGAGAGAGUGAAUCUUGUGCUACACUGGUUUGAUCUGUGGACGGACAGACAGAGGAAACACCUGCUGCACUCUCUGCUCACUCGUGGCACCAAGUCACAGCUCAAGUACUGCCGGGAUUUGCUGAUUGAGACGGUUCCGGUCACGAAAGUGGACCUUACAUCAGUGCUGCCUCGGUUUCUCUCCCUGUAUGUGAUGUCGUUUCUGUCCCCACGUGACCUUUGCAAAGCUGCCCAAGUCAGCUGGCACUGGAGGGUUCUAGCUGAGCAGGACUGUCUGUGGGCGGGCCGGUGCAUCAGACGAGGCUGGUUCCUUCCUUACACUCCUGGAGAUAAAGAGUUUGGUGCAUGGAAAACUCACUAUGUCUCCUGCCUCUCCACACUUGACUGGCUCACUCCACGGGAGGCAGCAGAGAUGUAUGGGACCCUCAACCAGCAAAGCACAGGAAUGACAGAGGAAGAGGAAGAGAGGAGGAGGGAGAAGAGGAUCAGGCAGCAAAUCAGAGAGAAGCUUCAAGAGGAGAAGAGACUGUCUGUAAGUGCCAGGAGACCCUGGGGCAGCUACACAAAGCCAGAAAUAGCCAGAGGUGGAGGUACCCAGAAAGGGAGACCCGAGUCUGGCCCAACAUUCGUCUCUCAGCCCCCCCUCUCCUGGCCUCUGAGGAGCGUUGGCUCUUCCAGCCACUCUCUCAGCCUGGAAAGAGGACAGCCCACAAGUGCACCUCAGACCUGGGAGAGAGUCCAGGCCUCCAGCAUUAGCAGCGAAACACUGAUCAAAACCAGAGGAGCGCUGUCGUCUUUUAUCUACAGACCUGCACAGCCUCACACAGUCUCUCCCCUUCACCUAUCCGCUCCUGCCCUGCUACUGCUCAUCUCCAACAGAAUUCCUGCUUAUGAGCUGGUGUUGAGCGGAGUGAAGCCUGGUGUGAUUGCGGUUCUCUAUGACCACAGAGGGACUCUCUCAUCUCUGCUAACCCAGGUGGAGAGGGCUAUUUCUGGGAAACCAGCUCAGAGGAUUGGCCUGCUAGCUUGCGGAGGAACACAGGAAAUUCACCUGCUUCACAACUCUAGCCUAUCAGAGAAGACUCUACUGAUUCCUGAUCGUAGGGAAUUCUGGGAAAAACUGUGUGGCAUGGUGGCUCCAACUGAGGAAGGAGGAGGGAUUGACAUAUUCUGCCCGCUGGCUGCAUCUGCAUCAGGAGUGGCUCUCCUCCAGAAUCUCUCCACGCUGACUGGUCUGGAGGUUCGGGCACCGGUGGGUGUGGCCACCGGGAAUUUCCAGAACAUCCUCAGUGAGUGGUCUGAUGGCAGUGUGCAUACCGGCCUCUCAGAGCACCAGCCAGCACGCCCGGCCCUGCAGUAUGUGUGUGAGGCUGUACUGCAGGGCUGGUGCACGCAGGCUCAGUGGAUGGAGGAGGCGCUGGUAGAGCUGAGGAGCACCUUAGGGCUGCAGCUACAGUGGGCCAGCGUCCAGGCAAGGGGCCGAGCUCUGGGCUAUUUUCUGUGGGAGAGAAUCCGCAUUGACGAGAUUUGUGUGUCCAGAGAUCUCAGCGAGGCUCUGAUCGAAGGACUCACUGCUCUGACCAGAGAGGAGGAGACCCGACCUGUGGAGUUUCUUUCCAUCUUUCUGAAAAACUGGAAUGAAGAGAAGAAGAGACAAGAGGGUAAUGGACAGGACAGCAGUGGAGCUGAUGGUGGUUCACAGACAUGCUUCAAUGUGAUACCUGAUCUACCACAGAUGGUUCUGGAUUGGAGAGGUGCAGCUGCGAGAGAGCUGCACCACAGCGAGUGUCUUUAUCUGGGAAAGCUAAACGCGGUGCUGAAGGUGUACAAGGAGCCUCUCACAGCAGCUCUGAACUCCAACAGAGCCAUUCUGAGCUAUGCUGACAUCCACAUUGUCCUCAGUCCUGUUGCACAAAUACUGGAGCUCAACAGGGUGUUUCAGGCUGAUUUACAGGCGCGGCUACAGCAGUGGGGUGCAGAGAAGUGUAUUGGAGAUGUUUUCGUGAAGUUCUGCUCAAAACUUAGAGUCUACACAAACUACCUCAACAACUACACCACUGCCAUCCACACCACUGAUAAGUGUAGGGAGAGCAAGCCAUCAUUUCGGGCUUUCUUGAAGAGAUCAGACAGAACGCUUGCAACUCACAUGCUGAGCCUACAAGAGCUGCUGCUGUGUCCAGUGUGGAGGAUGCAGGAGUAUGUGACUCUGCUUCAAGCUCUGUCCUUGCACACGCACCCCGGUCAUCCUGACCACGUACAUCUCCGCUCUGCCCUCAACACGCUGCUCCAGUUCAGAGAGUUCAUACACAAGUUAAAGCGCAGCUCAGAGGCAGAUAGACUGAUAGAGGAAACGCAGCGACAGAUUCAAGGCUGUCCGAACCUCAGUGAAGAAAACAGGCAACUAAUAAUGACUCAGGAUGCUGCUCUGCUCAGGAGCCCUGAUGAGCAGAUACCGGAUUCUCUCAAGUAAUAACACCAAUGCUCAGAUUCAGGCUGUUUUGUAACCAUGUGUAUAUUUGCAGUUUAAUAAUGUUCUUCUUUAUGUAACUUUGCAUGCAUAUGUACUUUGUCUGUUUCAUUCAAAUGCUUAGUAACACUUUUUAAUACGGCCCACAACUGAGGGUGUAAUUCCUUUGUAAUUAAAUGGAAUUUCAAAUUUAAGCAGACUGUAAGUAAUUUUAAGUAGUUAUUUUAAGUAUUGCAUAACUUCAUGUAUUUACGGGAAAGAAAGAAUAAUUGCAUUGUAAGUAAUUUUAAGUACUGUUUAAUGUUUUGUUAAUUCUGUGAAAAAACCCAACAAUAUCUCCCUGUCUUACAAGCCAACCACGCUGCACUUUUCCAGGUGCGGGCUAUAUUAUGUAGUGGCUUAAUCUGGCCUAACUUCCAGGUAUUUUACAUGAAAGAAGACACUCCCUUUGAAAGUUAUGUUUGAACAGUGAUUGUGAAAAAGAAAAAAAAAGGUUAUACUUGGCUCCAUUAUAAGAUAAGAUAAGAAGAACUUUAUUUAUCCUGAGGGAAAUUCUUUUGUCAUACACAUGCUCAAUGCAGCAAGUGAGACGGAGGAAGAGAGGAAUAAGAUAUACAAUAUAUACAAUAAGUAUAGUAGUAUACAGUAAUAUACAGUAGGAUAGUGCAAAACAUAAUAUCAAAUAACUCUAAUGAAGUAACAAUAUAUUAUAUAUAUAUAACUAUAUCCUGAAAAAUAAAUAGCUUAGCAAUCAGUGCAGGUGUUUCUGAAAGUGGCAUAGUAUUGUGCAAUUGAAUAAAAGAGCGUAGCAGCGUAUGAUGGGGAGAUGAAACAAACAUUCGAUGAAAUACUAUUGGGUGAUAUUGCACGUUCUGAAUGGGAACAGAAUAACUUUGGUAUUAAUCCUCAGGAGAAUCACCUACAAAGCGAGGAAGAGUUGUACAGUCUUAUUGCCACCGGUACGAAGGAUUUCCUGUGGCAGUCAGUUCUGCAUUUCGGGGCGAUGAGUCUUUUGCUGCGUGUGCUCCGAUGGUCCAUCAUGGAGGCGUGCAUGGGGUGGGAGGGGUUGUCCAUGAUACAAAGAAGCAUUUUUAGCAUUCUCCUCUCAGACACCAGGUUCUCCAGUCUGACACCCAGGACAGAACCAGUCUAUUUAAACAGCUUGUUCAGCCUGUUGGCAUCAGCUGUCUUCACCCCACUGCCCCAGCACACAGCUGCAAAGAGGACGGCGCUCUUAUUGCUUUACUUUUUUUGUGACCUAUGAGCACGUCUGUGAUGUGGGCCUCUUCCUGUUCACCGAUGCUUUGGUGUUGACUCGGCAAAAUGUCCAGCACACACCUUUCACG